CAGGGAAUUUUGCGCAAUGGGCGAAAGCCUGACGCAGCAACGCCGCGUGAGGGAUGAAGGCCUUCGGGUUGUAAACCUCUUUUCUCAGGGAAGAAUAAUGACGGUACCUGAGGAAUAAGUCACGGCUAACUACGUGCCAGCAGCCGCGGUAAUACGUAGGUGGCAAGCGUUAUCCGGAUUCACUGGGCGUAAAGAGCGCGUAGGUGGUUCUUCAAGUCAGAUGUUAAAUCUCCUGGCUUAACUGGGAGCGGUCAUCUGAUACUGCUGGACUUAAGGGCGGUAGAGGGAGGUGGAAUUCCCGGUGUAGUGGUGAAAUGCGUAGAUAUCGGGAGGAACACCAGUGGCGAAAGCGGCCUCCUAGGCCGUUCCUGACACUGAGGCGCGAAAGCGUGGGGAGCGAACAG
rnacentral:rRNA from 1 species